GAUGAAGAACGUAGCGAAAUGCGAUAAGUAAUGUGAAUUGCAGAAUUCAGUGAAUCAUCGAAUCUUUGAACGCACAUUGCGCCCCCUGGUAUUCCGGGGGGCAUGCCUGUCCGAGCGUCAUUACAACCCUCAAGCUCAGCUUGGUGUUGGGCCCCGCCGCCCCGGCGGGCCCUAAAGUCAGUGGCGGUGCCGUCCGGCUCCGAGCGUAGUAAUUCUUCUCGCUCUGGAGGUCCGGUCGUGUGCUCGCCAGCAACCCCCAAUUUUUUUCAGGUUGACCUCGGAUCAGGUAGGGAUACCCGCUGAAUUUAAGCAUAUCAAUAAGCGGAGGA
rnacentral:misc_RNA from 1 species